rnacentral:rRNA from 1 species
AUUGAACGCUGGCGGCAGGCCUAACACAUGCAAGUCGAGCGGAGCGGCGGACGGGUGAGUAAUGCCUAGGAAUCUGCCUGGUAGUGGGGGAUAACGUCCGGAAACGGGCGCUAAUACCGCAUACUAUCAGAUGAGCCUAGGUCGGAUUAGCUAGUUGGUGGGGUAAAGGCCUACCAAGGCGACGAUCCGUAACUGGGCUGAGAGGAUGAUCAGUCACACUGGAACUGAGACACGGUCCAGACUCCUACGUGAGGCAGCAGUGGGUAAUAUUGGACAAUGGGCGAAAGUCUGAUCGAGCCAUGCCGCGUGUAUGAAGAAGGCCUGCGGGUGGUAAAGCACUUUCAGCGGGGAGGCGUUACCUGCAGAAGAGGCACCGGCGAACUCCGUGCGAGCAGCCGCGGUAAUAA